CUAAAUUACUCAGCCUCCCUCACUCAGCUCUCCCUCACUCCCUCACUCCGAACGGCUCUCUCUUACUCCGCAGCCCAUCUCCAGUCAUCGGCUUUCCCUCACUCCGCAGCUCAUCUCCAGGUCCGGCUCUCCCUCACUCGGCUGCUCGUCUCCAGUCACCGGCUCUUUUUUUUUUACCGUCGACCAACAGGUUUGUGCUUUCACCAGUCACCGGUUCUUUUUUUUUUUUUGUAGUUGUUGUUGUUGUUGUUGUUGUUGUUGUUGACCGAUAGCUCAUUUUGCUCAGUUGCUCUGUUUUGAUCUCCAUCAGGUUUGUGCUUUCAUUUUCCUUUUUUUUUGGUUGUUGUUGUUGUUGUUGUGGUUGUAGUUCUGUCUGUGCGCUCUCUAGAGCCUGAACAAGUGCAGAAAAAAGAACCCAACAGAUUUGUGUUGGUUAGUGUGGACUGAGGCUACUUGUGGUUUUGGGAUUCCAAUUAAAUCCAUUCUUUAUUCGCAUAAGAUCCUAAAACGGAGAUGGAAGACACAAACACAGACAAAAACUUGUUGGAUUAAUUUGUUGGUUUGUAAUUAUUCUAAGCCUUUUUAGCAUUUUGUAAUUUUUUAGCCUUUUUAAAUUUGUUGGUUUGUGGAGGAUAAGACAUUUUGUAAUUUCUUACACUUGUGGGAUUUGUUUUGUAACUUUUUAUUUUUUAAUUUCUUGAACUUGUUGGACUUGUGAUACUUAGUUCUUGGACUUAUUGGAUUUAUUUUAUUUU